GGUUAAGGUAUUAAGGGCACGCGGGGGAUGCCUAGGCGCCAGAUGCCGAUGAAGGACGUAGCAAGCUGCGAAAAGCCACGGGGAGGCGCAAGCGGCCGUUGAUCCGUGGAUUUCCGAAUGGGGCAACCUGCCGGGAGUAGUUCCGGCGCCCUUUAUGGGGCGGGCACUCGGCGAAGUGAAACAUCUCAGUAGCCGAAGGUAGGAGAAAUCGAAGAGAUUCCCUGAGUAGUGGUGAGCGAAAGGGGAGCAGCCUAAACACUGUGCGUGUAAGCGUGCGGGCGUUGCGCGCGGUGGGUAGAGGGACAGGCUGAGGGCGGGCCGCAUCUCGUCCGGUCAGUGAGAAAGGCUCAUUGUAGCGGAACCGUGUUGGGAAAGCGGGCCGCAGAGGGUGAUAGCCCCGUACGCGAAACGAUGAGCUCUGGCUAAGCCUGAUCCCGAGUAGGGCGGAGCACGUGGAAUUCCGUCUGAAUCAGGGCCGACCACGGUCUAAGGCUAAAUACGUCUGGCGACCGAUAGUGUAUCAGUACCGAGAGGGAAAGGUGAAAAGCACCCCUGGCGGGGAGUGAAAUAGACCUGAAACCGCGUGCUUACAAGCAAUCGGAGCCGCGCGAGCGGUGACGGUGUGCCUCUUGGAAAAUGAGCCGUCGAGUUAUGGUGUGUGGCGAGGUUAAGGGCUGUUAGGUCUGUAGCCGCAGGGAAACCGAGUCUGAAUAGGGCGCUAGUCGCAUGCCAUAGACCCGAAGCCGUACGAUCUAUCCAUGUCCAGGUUGAAGUCCGGGUGACACCGGAUGGAGGACCGAACCAGGGCCUGUUGAAAAAGGCUUGGAUGAGGUGUGGAUAGGAGUGAAAAGCUAAUCGAGUACGGUGAUAGCUGGUUCUCCCCGAAAUGCAUUGAGGUGCAGCCUCGACGUGGAGGUGUGACGGGGGUAGAGCUACUGGAUGGGUGAGGGGGCCGAUGGGUCUACCGAGCUCAACCAAACUCCGAAUACCGUUACACGCAGUUGGGAGUGAGACUACGGGUGAGAAGAUCCGUGGUCGAGAGGGAAAGAGCCCAGACAUCCGGCUAAGGUCCCGAAGCCUGCGCUAAGUGUUACAAGGAUGUGGGGGUGCUGAGACAGCCAGGAGGUUGGCUUAGAAGCAGCCAUCCUUGAAAGAGUGCGUAACAGCUCACUGGUCGAGCGCUCCUGCGCCGAAAAUGUGGGGGGCUAAGCGCGGCACCGAAGCCGAUGCAUGUGCGGUUAUGCCGCACAUGGGUAGGGGAGCGUUCCGUAUGGGGCGAAGUCAGGCUGUGAAGUCUGGUGGACCGUACGGAAGUGAGAAUGACGGCAUGAGUAGCGUUAGGCAGGUGUAAACCCUGCCCGCCGGAAGCCCAAGGAUUCCUGGGGAAGGUCAGUCCGCCCAGGGUUAGGCGGGACCUAAGCCGAGGCCGAGAGGCGUAGGUGAUGGACAGCCGGUAGACAAUCCGGCCCCGCUGGUGCGCGUUAUUACCGAUGGGGUGACGCAGGAGGCUAUGUGCGCCGGGUGAUGGAAGUCCCGGUCUAAGGAUGUAGGGUGUCAGGUAGGUAAAUCCGCCUGGCGUGAGCCUGAGAUCUGAUGGGGACUGCGGUUAUACGCGGGAAGGCACAGAUGCCAAGCUGCCGAGAAAAGCCUCUAGGGAGUGUUACCAGCGCCCGUACUGUAAACCGACACAGGUGGGCAAGCUGAGAAGGCAAAGGUGAACGGGAGAACCCUCGUUAAGGAACUCUGCAAGUUGACCCCGUAACUUCGGGAGAAGGGGUGCCCUGUGGCGUGAAUCUGGAAGCGGAGUAAGCGCUGUGGGGUCGCAGAAACCAGGCUCAGGCGACUGUUUAAUUAAAACACAGGACUCUGCUGAAGGCGCAAGCCGAGGUAUAGGGUCUGACACCUGCCCGGUGCUGGAAGGUUAAGGGGAGGGGUUAGCCGUCAGGCGAAGCUCUGAACCGAAGCCCCAGUAAACGGCGGCCGUAACUAUAACGGUCCUAAGGUAGCGAAAUUCCUUGUCGGGUAAGUUCCGACCUGCACGAAUGGUGUAACGAUCUGAGCGCUGUCUCGACGAGGGACCCGGCGAAAUUGUGGUACUGGUAAAGACGCCAGUUACCCGUGGUGGGACGGAAAGACCCCGUGGAGCUUUACUGUAGCCUGAUAUUGGGUCUUGGCAAUCUCUGUACAGGAUAGGUGGGAGGCGUAGAAGUCAUGCCGCCAGGUGUGAUGGAGCCGUCGUUGGGAUACCACCCUUAGGUUGCUGGGGUUCUAACCGCUAGAGCUGAACCGCUAAGCGGGACACUGUCAGGUGGGCAGUUUGACUGGGGCGGUCGCCUCCUAAAGAGUAACGGAGGCGCGCGAAGGUCACCUCAUCGCGAAUGGAAAUCGCGAGUUGAGCGCAAGGGUAUAAGGUGGCUUAACUGUGAGAGCGACAGUUCGAGCAGAGACGAAAGUCGGUCCUAGUGAUCCGGUGGUACCGAGUGGAAGGGCCAUCGCUCAUCGGAUAAAAGCUACCCCGGGGAUAACAGGCUGAUCUCCCCCGAGAGUUCCCAUCGACGGGGAGGUUUGGCACCUCGAUGUCGGCUCGUCGCAUCCUGGGGCUGGAGAAGGUCCCAAGGGUUGGUCUGUUCGCCCAUUAAAGCGGUACGUGAGCUGGGUUUAGAACGUCGUGAGACAGUUCGGUCCCUAUCCACCACGGGCGUAGGGGAUUUGAGGGGAUCUGCUCCUAGUACGAGAGGACCGGAGUGGACGAACCGCUGGUGUACCGGUUGUGGCGCCAGCUGCAUAAGCCGGGUAGCCAUGUUCGGAUCGGAUAACCGCUGAAGGCAUCUAAGCGGGAAACCGGCCCCGAGAUGAGAUCCCCCACUGGGCAACCAGGUAAGGCAUCCUGCAGAUGACAGGAUAGAUAGGCCGGAGGUGUAAGCGGUGCGAGCCGUUGAGCUGACCGGUACUAAUAUGCCGAGGCCUUAACCCC
rnacentral:rRNA from 22 species